CAAGACCUUCCGUGAUGGCACAAUACAGGCUGGUCUGCGCUCCCUGUUGAGGGGUCUUGAUGAAGAAGGAGAAAAGCCACCACAUCCAUUUCAUGAAAGACUUUAGCUGAAUCCUGCAUACUUACAUACAGAGCAAAAUUCCUUCUUACACAACCAAAUGGCCUUUCCGAUCUUUCCAACUGAAGAGCUACUUAACUGCUUUUUGGAAAAUGUUCUGUUCACCUCUCCUAAUAGAAAGACCUUCCGAGCUGAAUCAGAAGAUACCAAAAUAAGAGAAAAAAAGGCUGUUUUGUAUGCACCUCUGCCACCGGAGAACUCCAAAAGGUGCCAAAAGGUGCUGGUUUCACCUCUUUGUUGCAUCUGACAACUCUUUUUUUGUGGCUUAUUUUCCUCAUGCGAUUUGUAAUUUCUAACUAUGAGCUCAUAUCCGUAGAAGUUGUUUACCUAGGGAGGCCAAGAUUCCUGUGAUAUGAGGAGAUAUGCCUACAGACUACUCUUGGGUUUGAUUUUGAUGUGAUACUACAGGGUUUUAUGUGAACUCCUCAGCUCAAGAUUCUUGUACCAUUUGGUGAUGUAAUAAAUUCUCCUACACAGAUGAUGCCAACUUGA